rnacentral:rRNA from 14 species
UCAUGGCCAUACCACCUUGUGAAUGCCCUAUUUCAUCUGAUCUUGAAAGUUAAGCAGGGUUAGGCUCGGGUCUUGUCUGAGGUUAAAUGAU